CACGUAACAGGCUUCUUUAAAAGAGGUUUGAUCACUGCAGUCCUCUUGGCCUGUGGAAAGUGACCUCAAUGAAGUGAAGAAUUCCCUGCAAUACUUGAGCCGGAUACCUGGACCUGACUUUGUCUCCAAGCAUCUUUGCUAUUUUGGAUUUUGACAUUGGAGAAGGAUCUCUAAACUACGUGGAUUAAACCUGGUUUGCCUACCCUCUGCUUUCCGGAAUUACUGGCUGGCGGCCACCAUCGAGGUGCUCUUCCUGGAACUACUACGGACCACCUCAAGCGAACCCUGUCGACCUUCCCACACAAUAACAUCUCCAACAGGACCUCAGAGUUACCUCACUGAUCCACUAAACUGGUGCACUUACCUGUCCUGGGCAGAGUAUGCGAUUAAUUCUCAUGUUUCUUCUGCUACUGGACUUUCACCUUUCGAGGCCUCUGUCGGAUAUCAGCCACCUUUGUUUCCUGCUGAUGAAAUGGACAUUGCAGUGGCCUCUGUUCGCCUCUAUGUACGCCGUUGCAAACAGUUCUGGUACAUGGCCUCUCAGGCUCUCCUUCGCUCAGCAGAUCAGAACAAGAAGUAUGCCGACCGUAAACGGAGGCCGGCCCUGGUGUACCAGCCUGGCCAAAGGGUCUGGUUGUCCUCUAGGGACAUACCUUUAAAAGUGGUUUCUAAGAAGCUGUCGCCCCGCUUUAUUGGCCCCUAUGCCAUUGAAUCUAUCAUCAGUCCUUCUGCCCUUCGUCUACCUCCUAGCCUGCGUGUACACCCCGUUUUUCAUGUUUCCCAGGUUAAGCCUGUCACUAUGAAAAACUGUGACAAAAGCUUGUAAGGAAUACCUGGUAAAUGAACCCCUCUCUUUUCAUCUCCUGGUUCUGUAUUUUGGGUCGUUCUCUAAUAUGUGUCCUUAAAUUCAUCUGUUGAGCUUCCCUUUUUUAUUUAAAAUUGUUUUUUCUUCAAUUGUGCCUCAAUUAGUCCUCUUUCUUCUAAGAAGUCAAAUAUCUGCCAGCACCUUUUGUAAUUUUAAUGUUCAUCCUUUUCUAUUUCUCUUUUUUCUCUCAUACUCUUUGUUCCAUCUUUUACUUGAAUUGGAGGGUUUCAUUUGCAGUUAAAUGCCAUUUUUGUCCCUCAUUCUUUGUUUCAUUUUUUAUGUUUGAACCUUUUUUUUGUAUUCCUCUUUAUUGAAUUUUUCAUUUCCACUCAAUAUGUAAUAAUAGCCUGGUUGAUACUAUCAACAUCUCCUCUUUAUAUUCACUAUUAUCAGUUAUUUUCCAUCUUCUAAUCCUCAAUGCUCUAUGUCUUGAUCUGCUUCCUGUAGUUCCUUAUUCUUGCUUCAAUCUCUGUGGGUCCCAAAGCAGUGCAUGAGGACAGAAAGCAUUUGGUGCUGGUCCUUCUUUCACUCAUUUCUCCAGUGUUUUCUUUUCGUUUCCUAGCCCCGACAGUUUCAGAUUUGCUUUUCUCCUUUUCUUACCAAACCGACUGUCCCCAUCACUUCCCUAACAGUCCUAUCUCCCUUUCACUUCUGCUAUCAUUCCCUGUUCAUUCCAGUGCUCCCAUGGGUGCAGGUGGUAAAGAAUGACGUCUCACUUUGAUUGCUGCAUGGCUGCAGGCAUUCCUGGGGCACAGUAGAUGUGGCGCUUCAGAUUGCAGGAUGUAGUGGUAAAUAAUCCCGACUGGGGAGAGAGGAACAGAGAGAUACAGGAAGAAAGGAAGGAAGGAAAAUAGGAAGUGGACAUGUGGAUGGUAGGGAAUUAUGUGACAAUUUUGGCACUGUUGAUUUGAAAGUAAAGCUUUGUCACUCAUAUAUUUCUCAUAUAUGUUAAGUUUCAUAAUUCGUUGUGUUAAAGAUAUCUUUUUGAACUUGCUUAAAUAACAUGUCUUAUAUUUUGUAGUUUUAUUACACAAAACAUUAUAUAAUAAACAGCUGGCAACAUAAA